UACGUAGGGGGCAAGCGUUGUCCGGAAUCAUUGGGCGUAAAGAGCGCGUAGGCGGUCCGGUAAGUCCGCUCUGAAAGUCCGGGGCUCAACCCCGGGAGGCGGGCGGAUACUGUCGGGCUAGAGUCCGGAAGAGGCGAGUGGAAUUCCUGGUGUAGCGGUGGAAUGCGCAGAUAUCAGGAGGAACACUAAUAGCGAAGGCAGCUCGCUGGGACGUUACUGACACUGAGGCGCGAAAGCGUGGGGAGCGAACAGG
rnacentral:rRNA from 1 species